AGAGUUUGAUCCUGGCUCAGGAUAAACGCUGGCGGCGUGCUUCAUGCAUGCAAGUCGAACGCUCUGACGUAAGUCAGGGAGUGGCAAACGGGUGAGUAACACGUAAGUAACUUGCCCCUAAGUGGGGGAUAACCCCGGGAAACCGGAGCUAAUACCGCAUGUGGUGGUGGGGGUAAGGCUCCAUCACUAAAACCUUCGGGUGCUUGGGGAGAGGCUUGCGUCUGAUUAGCUAGUUGGUAGGGUAACGGUCUACCAAGGCGAAGAUCAGUAGCUGGUCUGAGAGGACGGUCAGCCACACUGGGACUGAGACACUGCCCAGACUCCUACGGGAGGCAGCAGCAAGGAAUAUUGUGCAAUGGGCGAAAGCCUGACACAGCGACGCCGCGUGGGGGAUGAAGGCCUUCGGGUUGUAAACCCCUUUUCUCAGGGAUGAAUAAUGACAGUACCUGAGGAAUAAGUCACGGCUAACUACGUGCCAGCAGCCGCGGUAAUACGUAGGUGGCGAGCGUUAUCCGGAUUUACUGGGCGUAAAGUGAGCGCAGACGGUUUUUCAAGUCAGAUGUAAAAUCUCUCAGCUUAACUGGGAGGGUGCAUUUGAUACUGUUAGACUAGAGGGCAACAUGGGGAGGUAGAAUUCCCGGUGUAGUGGUGAAAUGCGUAGAUAUCGGGAGGAAUACCAGUGGCGAAGGCGGCCUCCUGGGUUGUUUCUAACGUUCAUGCUCGAAGGUGUGGGGAGCAAACAGGAUUAGAUACCCUGGUAGUCC
rnacentral:rRNA from 1 species